rnacentral:sRNA from 1 species
UUCAAAUGUAUAUAACGUCCGCGAUGCUCUGACACUGUGUGAGGCUUUUCCCUCACAGGGACAAAUAGCUGAAGGUAACCAUUUCAAAGAGGAAAGAUUCCGGUUUGCUCAGUGGCAGAGAACUUAGCUCUGUCAUCCUUGACAGCAUUGCUUUAGGGUCUGUGGUGAGUCAAAGUGUCAAGUAUGUGUUUCUCUUCAGAAUACAAGGAGUGUAUGGGAAGUAAACCAAAUACAUUUUGGAGAUAUCAAGUGUCCUGUUGAUACUGAUAAAACAAUACUGGGGAGAGGAUUUUUGACGGAAGAAAAGGAGGAUCUUUGGGGAAUACUAAAAAACACCAGUCAAUCAGACCAACAGUGAGGAGGGACAAAUGACACUUUCCUUCAAUCACACUGAGAAAUCUCUCCUUCAUUUGUAUUUUGAUGCCCGGAAGAAUCAUGGGUGCUUCUCGGAUCUAUUAACUAAUCUCAGAAAGCCAAGGAAAAUGAACUAUAUGAUGGCUGAGGUUGACAAAAGCAACUUUAAGUCACCAAGAGGCAAAAUGCCAAGUGGCACAUGAGGAACAACCAGCUCCUUGCCAGAGGUGGAAACCGUCCAAAGGAUAAUAUAAUUUUUCCAGUGAAGCAGAGUUCGUGCUAGAGAACCAACUCAACAUUUACCUAGACAGCUGAUGUCACCUCCACCCAGUCACGUUAGUCUUCACCAAAGGAAGAGAAAGACAUUGUAUUGUUCAAUAAAAAAAUAAAGUAAAAACGAUAUGUACUGCUUUUUGAGUUUCUGGGCCCAGAAACCCAGGCAGGUGAUUUUAAGUUCUCUCAGAGGUAUCUCACCAUAGAGAAUAUGACAACUGCUCCAGAGAAGAAUCCAGUGAGGGACCUGUUUAGUUCUGGAGUAGCCUGCUUUACCUGCCAGUUUCUGGCACUGUAUGAAGCCUAAGGACAUGAGUAGAUCUUCACUUCCUACCAUUUCCAAAUAUUUCCCUAUAAAUGUGUGAACGCAGCUCUUGACGUAGGGUGCAGAAAGGGUAGUUUACAAUGUGGAAUUGCAUUAACUUGGACAUUUGGUGCAUAUAGACCUCUGUUGGCAUGUGGCUACCAUCUAUCCAGAGAAUUUGUAUGAGUUCAAUAUGUAGGAUGUCAAUUUUGUCUUGGGCAAGCGUCAUGACUAUGUUACUUUAGCUGAGAGACCAGCGCUGUGCAAACAGAUUCUUUUAUAUUGCAUUUCUCUAGCUCUGUAAGAAAAAAAGUUUCUAUAAGUAGUUAGACUUCAAGUUUCUGGUUCCCAAAAGUACCAGUUAACUAUGAACAGCAAUAACUUCUUUCCUUUAUUAGUAUUAUGGUUGUUUUGUUAUUAUUAAGUAGGACACAUUACAACUUUUUUUUAAUUUGGCAGAAGUGGUGAUUUAUUAAAAUAGUCUAGAAAGAACUCAAGAGUUUGGUUGAAGUAUCUGUUCACCCUGUAGGAGUUCAGUUUGACAUACACCAUAGUUCCAUUAGACUGUUAAAAUUUUGGCUUUCUCUUUUGUCACAAUACUUAUGAUUAACAUAACCAUCUACUAUGAUAGCUUAAAAGAAUAUAUCUAUUAUUUUUACAAGAAGAACUGGCUUUUAUGACUCAAAUGCAGCUUCCACAGAAUAUGUUGUUCAUUACAAUUCUUUUUCCUCAGCUGAUUUUUGUUCCAUUUGUUCAUGUUGGUUUCUUCCUUGCUUAAGUUGCAAAGCACUCUUUCAGGGAAGAGCCCCUGGCAUAAUUCCAUUGGACACAAUUAUUUGUUCACAGGAAAAAAAAACACUAAUUUACAUUUAUAUCAACAUUAUAUUAAUGGCAAAACUAGAGUUCAG